rfam:Ovis aries breed Texel chromosome 9, whole genome shotgun sequence.
UCCCUCGUGGUCCCGUGGUUAGGACGCAGCAUUUGCACUGCUGGGGGUCCAGGUUCAACCCCUAGUUGGGGAA